CGUGGCUAACCUGCCCUUAGGAUGGGAACAACCCCGGGAAACUGGGGCUAAUUCCCGAUAGGUGAAGAACUCUGGAAUGAGUCUUUGCCCAAAAGGUGUCGGAUCAUGCUUUCGGCAUCGCCUAAGGAUGGGGCCGCGACCGAUCAGGUUGUUGGUGAGGUAAUGGCCCACCGAGCCUAUAACCGGUGCGGGCCGUGAGAGCGGGAGCCCGGAGAUGGGCACUGAGACAAGGGCCCAGGUCCUACGGGGCGCAGCAGUCGCGAAACCUUUGCAAUACACGAAAGUGUGACAGGGUCAUCCCGAGUGCCGACCGCUGAGGUUGGCUUUUACCCAGUCUAGAAAGCUGGGGGAAUAAGGAGAGGGCAAGUCUGGUGUCAGCCGCCGCGGUAAUACCAGCUCUCCGAGUGGUGUGGACGUUUAUUGGGCCUAAAGCAUCCGUAGCUGGCUGAACAAGUCCCCUGUUAAACCCACCGAUUUAAUCGUUGGUCUGCGGGGGAUACUGCUCGGCUAGGGGACGAGAGAGGCAGACGGUAUUCCCGGGGUAGGGGUGAAAUCCUAUAAUCCCGAGAAGACCACCAGUGGCGAAGGCUGUCUGCUAGAACGCGCCCGACGGUGAGGGAUGAAAGCUGGGGGAGCGAACCGGAUUAGAUACCCGGGUAGUCCCAGCUGU
rnacentral:rRNA from 1 species